AGCCUGCCCACUGAUUGAAAUUUAAAGGGCCGCGGUAUACUGACCGUGCGAAGGUAGCAUAAUCAUUAGUCUUUUAAUUGAAGGCUUGUAUGAAUGGUUGGACAAAAAGUAAGCUGUCUCAGUUAUAAUAAUUGAAUUUAACUUUUAAGUGAAAAGGCUUAAAUGGAUUAAGGGGACGAUAAGACCCUAUAAAGCUUGACAAUAAGUUAAUUAUAUUAUAAAUUGUUAGUAUAACUUGAUUUUAAUUGACGUUUGUUACGUUGGGGCGACGAGAAUAUAAUGAGUAACUGUUCUUAAAUGUUUAUUGACAAAUAUAAUUGGUAUUUGAUUGAUCCUUUAUUAAAGAUUAAAAGAUUAAGUUACUUUAGGGAUAACAGCGUAAUCUUCUUUGAGAGUUCAUAUUGACAAGAAGGUUUGCGACCUCGAUGUUGAAUUAAGGUAUCCUUAUGAUGUAGCAGUUAUAAAGG
rnacentral:rRNA from 1 species